ensembl:lncRNA
GUGGUUACAGGGUUCAUUCUGCGUGGUUAUAGGGUUCAUUGUCCGUAGUUACAGGGUUCAUUGUGCGUGGUUACAGGGUUCAUUCUGUGUGGUUACAGGGUUCAUUCUGCUGGGUUACAGGGUUAAUUCUGCGUUGUUACAGGGUUCAUUGUGCGUGGUUACAGGGUUCAUUGUGCGUGGUUACAGGGUUCAUUCUGCGUGGUUACAGGGUUCAUUCUGCGUGGUUACAGGGUUCAUUCUGCGUGGUUACAGGGUUCAUUCUGCGUGGUUACAGGGUUCAUUCUGCGUGGUUACUGGGUUGAAACAGAAACAACUCAAAGGUUAACAGUUUAGGCUCAUCAUUCAGAGUGAUUAAGGUUCGGGCUAUGGUUUGGGGAAGGCUUACAACAAAAUAAUGAAAAACGACGUGCUAUUAUGAUCAGGUAUGAACCGAAUUCACAGUAUUCACACGCCUUGAUAGAGUGUUGUGAACUGCACCAUAGUACAUGGGUCUAAGCAGCGUGCCUCAGCGCCGAGCAU